UAUUCUUUCUUUUUGUGUGAAUGACAAUUAUGUUGUGGAUUAAAUCGGAUAUGGCUGGGCUUUGUGUUUAUUUGUUGGGCCAGCCCUUGAUAUGUGCAGCCCGUACGUGAUUAGAGUUACCUCUUCCAUCGAUGUCGUCUUCAUCCUCUUCGCUGCAUUUGCCGUAACGUCUUCUUUCUUCUUAAAAUCGAUUUUUAAUUCAAUCAUUAAGCUUCAGCCCACCUCUCUUCCCACUCCUUCUCUCAUUAAUUCUCAUUAACGAGCGGCAUCGAAACAGUACCAAGGUCAACCUAUAAUUAGAUGUUUUGGAUCGAUGAAGAUCUUCACCAUAUCUUAUUGCUUAAACAAUCCAACACACGCCUUCAAAAAUGUAGUCUUCCUAUGUUCUUCUCGCCAACCUGAGAGCGGGUCGUUGCUCAAACACAGCGGAGGUGCGUCUUCUGCGGUUCUGGGAAUCUCGCAAUGUCCGGAAAGAUGGAGAGCUCAUGAGUCUUCACAUGCUUCUCCUCGAUGAACAUUGGUUUCUUCGUCGGCCGAAGUAACCCAAAAUUCCGACUCUCUGACACUCCGGUGUCCAUACGCUUCAAUGAUGGAACUUAUUUCGAAGCAAACCCUGACUCGGAAAAGGAUUUUCCGACUGAAUGAGGUGGUUGGAAAAAUUUUCACUUCCCAGCUCAAGUUGAGUGAGUUCAACUUCACUUCCAAGCACCAGAGCUUUACGGUUUCCCGUAUAAUAAUUGAGCACGAGAGAGCGCCAUUGCCAGCGUUUGUUAACGAUGGGGAUGAUCAUGGAACCGAUGACAAUGGAGAUGGUGCAGAAUUAGCAGAUGGUGUGCCACCAAAAACCGAUGAGAUUACCAUUCUCAACGACCAGGCAUCCGCAUCAAAUGUCCCAUACCACGGUUCUCAGGCUGCAGACAAACAGAAACUUGUCAACAAUUAGAACGUGAAGAAGAAGGCACGCAAGGAGUAGAUCAACGUGGACUGCAUCAUUCCCCACCGCUUUAUUAUCAAAUAAUGCUUUAUCUUUUUUUACCUUUUCUUAAUUUGAACACUUUAGUAUCUUUUCCCUAUUAUUAUAGAUUUGAACUCUC